AUUGAACGCUGGCGGCAGGCCUAACACAUGCACGUCGAGCGAGCGGCGGACGGGUGAGUAAUGUCUGGGAAACUGCCUGAUGGAGGGGGGUAACUACUGGAAACGGUAGCUAAUACCGCAUACCAUCAGAUGUGCCCAGAUGGGAUGAGCUAGUAGGUGGGGUAACGGCUCACCUAGGCGAAGAUCCCUAGCUGUUCUUAGAGGAUGACCAGCCAUACUGGAACCGAGACACGGUCCAGACUCCUACGGGAGGCAGCCGUGGGGAAUAUUGCACAAUGGGCGCAAGCCGGAUGCAGCCAUGCCGCGUGUGUGAAGAAGGCCUUCGGGUUGUAAAGCACUUUCAGCGGGGAGGCGUUACCCGCAGAAGAAGCACCGGCUAACUCCGUGCCAGCAGCCGCGGUAAUAC
rnacentral:rRNA from 1 species